rnacentral:lncRNA from 1 species
CUAGGAUCAAAUGCAGACCUUGAUCCUGGCACUCCAGCUUAUCUGUAGCAAGCAGAGGAAGAGGUGCCAACCCGCCAACCAGACUGAGACCCCAACACCAAGGAAGGUAGGAGAGACCUGGCCAGUUACCACCAGUACCUCUUACAGGGACUCCGCCAAGUGGCUAGGAAACCAACUAAUUUGACCAAGAUGCUGGAAUCUUAAAGCCGUGCCAAUCGCCUUGGAACACCCCACUCCUGCCUGUCCAAAAGCUUGGUACUUCCAAAUACAG